rnacentral:tRNA from 2 species
GCCGGUGUAGCUCAGUUGGUAGAGCAACGCAUUCGUAAUGCAUAGACCGGAUGUUCAAAUCUUCUCGCUGGCACCA